GUGGGUGUAGUUCAAUCGGUAGAGCGCCAGACUGUGGAUCUGGAUGUUGUGGGUUCAAGCCCCAUCACCCACC
rnacentral:tRNA from 1 species